rnacentral:rRNA from 1 species
UAACCUGCUAAAUAGCCCGCGUUGCUUUGGCAGCGCGCUGGCUUCUUAGAGGGACUAUCGGCUCAAGCCGAUGGAAGUUUGAGGCAAUAACAGGUCUGUGAUGCCCUUAGAUGUUCUGGGCCGCACGCGCGCUACACUGACAGAGCCAGCGAGUACUCCCUUGGCCGAAAGGUCCGGGUAAUCUUGUUAAACUCUGUCGUGCUGGGGAUAGGGCAUUGCAAUUAUUGCCCUUCAACGAGGAAUUCCUAGUAAGCGCAAGUCAUCAGCUUGCGUUGAUUACGUCCCUGCCCUUUGUACACACCGCCCGUCGCU